rnacentral:rRNA from 2 species
CCUACGGGAGGCAGCAGUGGGGAAUUUUCCGCAAUGGGCGAAAGCCUGACGGAGCAAUACCGCGUGAGGGAGGAAGGCUCUUGGGUUGUAAACCUCUUUUCUCAGGGAAGAAUUCAAUGACGGUACCUGAGGAAUAAGCAUCGGCUAACUCCGUGCCAGCAGCCGCGGUAAUACGGAGGAUGCAAGCGUUAUCCGGAAUGAUUGGGCGUAAAGCGUCCGCAGGUGGCAUUGCAAGUCUGCUGUCAAAGGUCAGGGCUUAACCCUGAAAAGGCAGUGGAAACUGAAAUGCUGGAGUGCGGUAGGGGUAGAGGGAAUUCCCGGUGUAGCGGUGAAAUGCGUAGAGAUCGGGAAGAACACCAGUGGCGAAGGCGCUCUACUAGGCCGCAACUGACACUCAUGGACGAAAGCUAGGGGAGCGAAUGGGAUUAGAUACCCCAGUAGUCCUAGCUGUAAACGAUGGAAACUAGGCGUUGAGAGUAUCGACCCUCUCAGUGUCGUAGCUAACGCGUUAAGUUCCCGGCCUGGGGAGCGGCCAACGGGGG